AACAAGGCGUACCUGCGGACCUGCGGAGGGAUCAUUACCGAGUUUACAACUCCCAAACCCCUGUGAACAUACCACUUGUUGCCUCGGCGGAUCAGCCCGCUCCCGGUAAAACGGGACGGCCCGCCAGAGGACCCCUAAACUCUGUUUCUAUAUGUAACUUCUGAGUAAAACCAUAAAUAAAUCAAAACUUUUAACAAUGGAUCU
rnacentral:misc_RNA from 1 species